UCAACCCCAGGACCCUGAGAUCAUGAUUGAGCUGAAAGCAGAGCUAUGGAAGCAACUGGGAGAGAAACCAGGAACCCAGGAUGAGACCGCAGUAGGGGAGGGAACUCACCAAACCUGGAGUUCCUCAAUAAGGUCCCAUCUGUCCCUUACCUGGACCCUCCCUUACAGAAGGCAGUGUGCCAAUCAUGUGCCCUCUGUUCUCCAGACACUCUCCAGCAGCAGCAGAGAUCUAAUUGAUUCCCCAGAACACAUGACGAAACUUUGAUGCAGAGAAUUGGAUGGCUUAUCUGAGGACAUCUAGAGACGUCAGCUCACACGGGAGAACAGAAGGCCCUGGUACCAAAUAACAACGCAGAGGACGAAACUGAUUGUUACCUAACAAGACCUGUAGCCAGGGGAACUCGGAUGCUCAGAGAGGAUGAUGGGGUUCUCAUGGUUCAGUGCUCUGUCUGCUAUUUCCCUGUGGUUCUCUGCUUGCCGGAUGCCUGAUUCAGUUGUACUGUCUUAUAACGGGCAAUGCUCGGAGGCAUGGCUGGGUCAGAAAGAAGGGGCUUGCCAUUAGCCCUGAUUAUUUAAGCAAACUCUAAUUCUUCUUUCCCAGCACCCCGACUCUCCGCCCUAUACCCUAUACGCUUGCCACGUGCAGAAUGUCUGUGGGUUCCUAAGGGAAUGCUGGGCUCCCAGACAGCGGGGCUUUCCGCCCCUCCCCCAGCCCUCCCCAUGUGGGCUGUGGGGAAUGCAGUCGCAUCAUUUGCAUUUAUCAGGGAGAAUAUACCGCCUUGUCUGUAGCCUUUAGUCUGACUGAAUUGCUUUUCUGCUUCAUGAGACACACAGCGCGCCGGCCCAGUGCUCCCCUCUCCUCUUUACUGCACCAGCAUCGGCGCAACCCACUUUGCUCUCCAUCGCAUUUAUCAUAUUGAUCGUAUAAGAAAUAGAUCAUAAGCAGAAUGAAAUUACCGAAUGCAAUGAUCUGGGGCAUCCUAUGGACCAGAUCAAUCUUGGGGCAGCCAGGAAAAAAAGUCCCUUGCUGUGACGUUUUCCAAAGUUGAUUUUCAUUGCAAAUAGAAAUUUCCAUCAGCUGAGGUACCCAGCGGGGUCGGGGGUGGGGCAGUACAGGGUGGCAGAAUAGGAGCUUGAUAAGCCUCAUAAGGCUCAUUCAUUAGGAAGGAGACUUCCUUAGCUGCAACUCCCUUGAAAUGGAUGUUUGAGGCUCUAGUUGUAACAAUAUCCAUUUUCUCCUGCUUAUCUCUCAUUCUCCAAGUUGUUCUUCUUGUGUGUGUGUUUGGGGCAGGGAGGUGAUAUCGAAAAAAGGUAAGAUUCUCACUUAUUUAGAAGACUGUCAAGGACCCUUUCUAAUCUCCUGUGAACGCCUGGAGUGAGCGUGGCUGGUCUUUGUCACCCUGGCCCCAGCCUGUGGGUGUGGAGUGUCUGUGGGAGGCUGGAGUUUUAACAGCACUGUUUGUAGGGGACAGUGUGGGACUUGUUUAUUAAACCGCUUCUUGAAAACAUAAGCUUGAAGCCCCCACCCCUCCCAGAACUGAGGCUCCAGACAUGACCUCUGCCAUAAUAAGAACUUUCUCCCUGUCUGGAGACAAGGCUGCUGAGUUCAGCUGAGACUGGAAAUCCAAGUGAACAAGGUCCCUGGCAGCCUGCCACCCCCUCAGACUGAAGCAGAAACCCACAGUGGGAAUGUGGUCCGAGGCCCCGGUCACCCCCUUCCCACUGUGAAAUCCAUCCCCAGACGCUGAGACUCAGUGCUAUUGGCUUUGGCAACAUUCGUCAUGCCAAUAAACUCAUUGAAAUUGAAGAAACCAGAGGGGAAAGGAGAGCAGAAAAUAGAAGGGGGUGAGGACAGGGAGAGGGGGGAGGGUGUACAAAGAACAGCAGGGAAGAGGAGCUGCCCCCAAACCCUCCAGUGAGCUUAAUGGGAGAGAUGUCACGGAUGCCAAAUGGCUGAGUUCAUGGAGAAGAGAAGGCACAGGCACGAGCAGACCCCCUCCCUACCCCCAAACGCACCUCUGUUUGCUCCCGAUUCUGUUGAAGCUUCUAUACUCAUAGAAAUGUCUCUGGAAAGCUUCCCAUGACACAAAUGGCCGAGGAAAUGCCCAUGUACACAUACACACACACUCCACCACCAAUGGGAUAAUGAAGGAGAAAACAUCAUGAAAUAGACCAACCAUGACCAUGAGGGAAAUAUACCAGGCCCUUAGGACAUGUUUAAACCAGGGGAGACCUAAACUGCGGAGACACUGGGCAGAGCCGGGUUCCCGCUAGCACCACCGUCCCCCACCCCAGAACUGCUCUGGAGCUGCGUUCUGCCCUGAAUAUAAUUCUUCGAGUUCCAUAGUUUUCUAGAAUUAGGGAUGCUGCCUAGAGUUCAUCCAGGCCAGCUCAGCAUUGUUUUUCCUGGAUAUAUGAUUGCCUCUCCUAAUUUAAAAAAAAUUUUUUUUCUUUAAGAUU